rnacentral:rRNA from 1 species
UUUGAUUCCUGCUUCAGGGACGAACCGCUGGCGGGCAUGCUUAAUUCCAUGCAAGUCGAACGCUGAAGCACUCUGCUUGCAGAGUGCGGAUGAGUGGCGAACGGGUGAGUAACACGUGGGAAAUCUGCCUAGGAGUGGGGGAUAACAUUCGGAAACGGAUGCUAAUACCGCAUAUCUUUUUGAACCGCAUGGUUCUUAAACGAAAGACGGCUUCGGCUGUCGCUCUUAGAUGAUCCCGCGGCGUAUUAGUUAGUUGGUGGGGUAAAGGCCUACCAAGACCAUGAUACGUAGCCGACCUGAGAGGGUGAUCGGCCACACUGGGACUGAGACACGGCCCAGACUCCUACGGGAGGCAGCAGUAGGGAAUCUUCCACAAUGGGUGAAAACCUGAUGGAGCAAUGCCGCGUGAAUGAAGAAGGUCUUCGGAUCGUAAAGUUCUGUUAUUAGAGAAGAACAAGUCAAGGAGUAACUGUCUUGACUUUGACGGUACCUAACCAGAAAGUCACGGCUAACUACGUGCCAGCAGCCGCGGUAAUACGUAGGUGACAAGCGUUGUCCGGAAUUAUUGGGCGUAAAGGGAGCGCAGGCGGUUGGAAUAGUCUGAUGUGAAAGCCCACGGCUUAACCGUGGAAGGUCAUUGGAAACUGUCCAACUUGAAUACAGAAGAGGUAAGUGGAAUUCCAAGUGUAGCGGUGAAAUGCGUAGAUAUUUGGAGGAACACCAGUGGCGAAGGCGACUUACUGGUCUGUAAUUGACGCUGAGGCUCGAAAGCGUGGGUAGCAAACAGGAUUAGAUACCCUGGUAGUCCACGCCGUAAACGAUGAGUGCUAAGUGUUAGGGGGUUUCCGCCCCUUAGUGCUGGAGUUAACGCAU